GAAGAGCCAUAGCUCAGCGGUAGAGAUUCUGCUUCGCAUGCAGAAGCUCUCAGGUUCGGUCCCUGCCGUCUUCU